UACGAAGGGGGCUAGCGUUGCUCGGAAUCACUGGGCGUAAAGCGCACGUAGGCGGCUUGUUAAGUCAGGGGUGAAAUCCUGGAGCUCAACUCCAGAACUGCCUUUGAUACUGGCGAGCUUGAGUCCGGGAGGGGUGAGUGGAACUGCGAGUGUAGAGGUGAAAUUCGUAGAUAUUCGCAAGAACACCAGUGGCGAAGGCGGCUCACUGGCCCGGUACUGACGCUGAGGUGCGAAAGCGUGGGGAGCAAACAGG
rnacentral:rRNA from 1 species